GGUCUUUCGGAGCUGUGCGGCAGGCUGAGCAGGAAUGGCAAUGUGGACCUCUGUGAUGGGACAACUGGUGGGAUCUCACAUCCAGUUCUGUGUCAAAGGAGGAUGAAGACUAAGGACUCAUGAGGAAGCUGGAUUACUGGACGAGAGCAAUGUUCUAGAAGGGAAGACCAGAAAAUGAGAUGGUGGAGUUUAAUAAGGCUGGACAGACAGUUUUGAAAUCACUGUGGUUGCAUGCUUUCAUUUGGAUGGCUUGCCUUGGACACAAAUGGUUUGAAUAAAGAAAGGUAUUACACAUGGAUCCCCUCAGUUGAAGGCACUGAUGGGUCUUUCUGAAUUUCUGGUCCUUCUGAAUUUCAAGGGCUCCUGUGACAAGUAGACAUGGCAGUGACUUCACCAUUUUGUUUCUGAGGUGCCUGGAUGGAGACUCAAAUAGAAGAUGGUGUCAGAUACAUUGUGUUGUCAAGAUUUUACCAUUAAAGUGUGUUAUAAACAUG
rnacentral:lncRNA from 1 species